rnacentral:lncRNA from 1 species
GAUUUCAAUAACGUCGUCUUCUCAUGUAUUUAAAGACGUCAUAUUUUUUCUUGUCGUGAAAAUUACAUUUAACGGCGUAGUGUUUUAGUUGUCGUCGUUGUAUGUCUAUCUUGCGGCCUUGUUCUUUUAAUAUGUGUCAUAUUUUUCCUUUUUAACGACGGUGAUUUGUUUGAGUUGGUCGUCUAUUCUCAUCCUCGACUAUUUUUUAGAACUUUAGCAGACUAAACACGUCUGUUUUUUUUUGUUUUCUACGUUGUUUUAUUU